CAUGAGAUCAUGCAGUAUUUAUCUUUCUGGGCCUGUUAUAUUUCAGUUAACAUAAUGUCCUCCAGUCUCAUCUAUGUUGCUACAGAUGACAGGAUCUCUUCUUCUUUACAGCUGAGUAAUACUCCAUCAUGUAUAUGUACCAUACUUCCUUUAUCCAUCCAUCUGUUGAUUAAUCCAAAU